rnacentral:rRNA from 1 species
UACGUAGGGGGCAAGCGUUGUCCGGAUUUAUUGGGCGUAAAGAGCGUGUAGGCGGUUAGGUAGGUCCGUUGUGAAAACUCGAGGCUCAACCUCGAGACGCCGAUGGAAACCAUCUGGCUAGAGUCCGGAAGAGGAGAGUGGAAUUCCUGGUGUAGCGGUGAAAUGCGCAGAUAUCAGGAAGAACACCCGUGGCGAAGGCGGCUCUCUGGUACGUGACUGACGCUGAGACGCGAAAGCGUGGGGAGCAAACAGG